UACGUAGGGGGCUAGCGUUGUCCGGAAUCAUUGGGCGUAAAGAGCGUGUAGGCGGCCCGGUAAGUCCGCUGUGAAAGUCGGGGGCUCAACCCUCGAAUGCCGGUGGAUACUGUCGGGCUAGAGUGCGGAAGAGGCGAGUGGAAUUCCUGGUGUAGCGGUGAAAUGCGCAGAUAUCAGGAGGAACACCGAUGGCGAAGGCAGGUCUCUGGGCCACUACUGACGCUGAGAAGCGAAAGCGUGGGGAGCGAACAGG
rnacentral:rRNA from 1 species